rfam:Ricinus communis cultivar Hale ctg_1100012303917, whole genome shotgun sequence.
GGGUGCGAUCAUACCAGCACUAAUGCACCGGAUCCCAUCAGAACUCCGAAGUUAAACGUGCUUGGGCGAGAGUAGUACUUAGAUGGGUGACCUCUUGGGAAGUCCUCGUGUUGCACCCC